CAGUAGCCGCGGUAAUACGAAGGGGGCUAGCGUUGCUCGGAAUGACUGGGCGUAAAGGGCGCGUAGGCGGCGAUCAAAGUCAGGCGUGAAAUUCCUGGGCUCAACCUGGGGGCUGCGUUUGAUACUUGAUUGCUAGAGUGGGGAAGAGGGUCGUGGAAUUCCCAGUGUAGAGGUGAAAUUCGUAGAUAUUGGGAAGAACACCGGUGGCGAAGGCGGCGACCUGGUCCUUGACUGACGCUGAGGCGCGAAAGCGUGGGGAGCAAACAGGAUUAGAGACCCCAGUAGUCCCUGUCUCUUAUAC
rnacentral:rRNA from 1 species